GGCAGGUCCUAGUGCAGUGGUGAUUACAACUAAUGGAUCAAAACCAGUUACAGAUUCCUUUGUUCCUUCUCCACUGCGGCUGUUUCACUUGACUAGCCAAAA
rnacentral:Y_RNA from 1 species